CGCCGACCUCAGAUCAGGUAAGA
rnacentral:rRNA from 1 species